rnacentral:rRNA from 1 species
UACGAAGGGGGCUAGCGUUGCUCGGAAUCACUGGGCGUAAAGGCGCGUAGGCGGACUUUUAAGUCGGAGGUGAAAGCCCAGGCUCAACCCUGGAAUUGCCUUCGAUACUGGGAGUCUUGAGUUCGGAAGAGGUUGGUGGAACUGCGAGUGUAGAGGUGAAAUUCGUAGAUAUUCGCAAGAACACCAAUGGCGAAAGCAGCUCUCUGGGACGGUACUGACGCUGAGACGCGAAAGCGUGGGAGCGACAGG